CAAUUUAAUAGUUUUUUCAAAAAUAAACACAGAACUGUGAUUUAUUAGCAUAUAAAAAUGUAUUUACAUAUCUAUCUUAAAAAAUUUUAGGUAGCCUAAAAAAUUAAAAGGAGACCUUAAAGUUCGCCCUAAAACUCUCAUAGACACGAGAAUCGAGGAGCCGCCGCAAGCUCCACAUCUUGACGCCGGCGGUGCUUCUGGCCGCCGGCGUCGACAUCUAAGCUCUUAUGUGUUCCUCCUGCUCCACUACGAUCUCGUUUUCUACUGUUUUCUCGCUAAAAACUUCAUCCACUCUCAUCAGAUCUGGCCGUGGAAAGGCCUGACUCUACUCGUAAGAGUUCGUCGCAGGACAUCCGUGGUAUCCCAUCACUUGUUUACGCCUCCUCGCCGGAUUUCUCUGCGAACUCACCGUCUUUCGCCGCCGAUUCUCCAGAUACAUCGCUGUAUCUCGCUUCUCACCAUUACCAAGAAGUUACCAAAGCUCUCCUCUGUGAGACCUCCCCUGAAACCGGUUUUGCUCCUUGUGCGACUUUGGAUUUUCCAGAUUCUCUGGACCUUCAAACCUUCUCGCUUGGUCAGUGCUUGGUCUCUCCCAUGGACUCCAUUUCUCCUUCAUCUGGGAUGAAUCUGCUUCCUUUCCGGUCUUUAUCCGGCUUCCUUUGUUCUCCUUUGGGAAGAUUAUGAUUAUUUAGUCUAUCUCCCGCUUGUAGGCCAAGUUUAUUGCGUUUCUCUGGCUGGUAAUAGAUCGAGCAGUCUCUUUAGACGAACUCCUAAAACUCUGUUAAUUACAACUGCAAUUCGUUUUGCCUUGGUAGUUCUCAAGUUUACCGUCUCCAUUUGGUCGUGUUUGUGUUUGAAAUAUUACUUUUUUGUGGAGAGUUUCGGUCCUUUUACAGAGAAUCAAGUCUACUUUGUUGCUACUAGACUUCCUUUCUCAUUUCUCGGUGAAAUGAGCAAGCUAUGUGUCGAAGCAUAUGAAGUCUCCCUGCGUAACGGUACAAUUCGGUUAUGCUCCUCUACCUCCUCCUUACUACAGGAUGGAUGUGCUCUCAAGGUCUUGUCGGAAGGCCUCCCAUAUUAUCCACGUGACUUCGUGACAUCGUUGGUUACAAUUUCGGGUUUAGAAGCAUCAUGUGUGCUUGCUAGUUUACAUGGCAUCCUUACGCUCACCAACAUUGACGUCGAUAAUCGAAGACUUCUUUACGUUCUGUGUGGUAUUUGCGUCAAGAUUGCUUCUAUCUAUCAUGCUUUUACAUUAUGUUUUGCGUUUGUUUCAACAUUUCUUUUGGCCAUCUUGGCUGUAUUUUCAGUUGUAUGGAACCUCUACUCCAUUUUUGGAGAGUAAUUUUGCUAUAACAAGCUUCAGUUGACAAAAAAAACA